CUUUAAGCAGCCGUCGCAAAAAGCACGCCGAAACGACACGCUACCCUCAGGAGGCGGGACUUGCCGAACGACCCCUCUGGCCCUUUGCACUCUCCGACGGACUCACUCACCCUCUACGCAUCUCCACCCUCCACCCUCUGUUUCAACAGUGUUUGUGACGCAAAAGUGCAGUGUAGAAAAGGACAACAACUUCAUGACCAACCAGUUCAUUUUUCAAAGAAGGACGGCUGUAUAACUGACGAACGUUGUGAAAUGCAGCUCCUAUACAACCAGCCAAUGAUGUCUGCGUCAAAAUAAAACAAAAAACGGUAAUCAGUUUCGUGA